UACGUAGGGUGCGAGCGUUGUCCGGAUUUAUUGGGCGUAAAGAGCUCGUAGGCGGUUUGUCGCGUCGGCCGUGAAAUCUCCACGCUUAACGUGGAGCGUGCGGUCGAUACGGGCAGACUUGAGUUCGGUAGGGGAGACUGGAAUUCCUGGUGUAGCGGUGAAAUGCGCAGAUAUCAGGAGAAACACCGGUGGCGAAGGCGGGUCUCUGGGCCGAUACUGACGCUGAGGAGCGAAAGCGUGGGGAGCGAACAGG
rnacentral:rRNA from 1 species